CCCGCAUACUCGAUGAAUGCAAAAUGUAUUCUUACAUCUUAUUCAGCUCUAUCUUGGGGUUUUCUCUACUUUUUUUCUGCCCAUACAUACACACACACUUAGUGCUUUCAAAAACCGACAAUCCAUGUUUCAUUCACUGGAUCGGCAGUUAAGGAGAGAGAGUAAAUGAAAGGAGGGGCAAGGGGGAAGCAGGGAAAUGCGUAGUUUUAACUUUUAACAGACCUUUAUAACAAAGAUAUGAAUUGUAAAAUGCAGUCCAGUUUAAUCCAAUUCGCAAGCACUAACUCCAUUGGCAUAAAUACUAACCCACCCUUAUUGCUCAUCGUGCGCUUCAUUCAUAAGUUGCUUGCAUUGGCUGGCUACGAAUGAUUUGCUUGGGUACGCAACGCAUUAUUAUUAAUUACCUAAAAAAAAAAAAAGAAGGACCUAGCUCCUGUGUGUGUGUAAAUUUUUUUCUUUGAAGUAUUGAAAGAAAAAAAAAUUUUUCAUUCGUUUUAUUCUUGUUUUUUUUUUUUUUUUAUCUUUG